CGUAUGUCCGAGCGUUAUCCGGAUUUAUUGGGCGUAAAGCGAGCGCAGACGGUUGAUUAAGUCUGAUGUGAAAGCCCGGAGCUCAACUCCGGAAAGGCAUUGGAAACUGGUCGACUUGAGUGCAGUAGAGGUAAGUGGAACUCCAUGUGUAGCGGUGGAAUGCGUAGAUAUAUGGAAGAACACCAGCGGCGAAGGCGGCUUACUGGACUGUAACUGACGUUGAGGCUCGAAAGUGUGGGUAGCAAACAGGAUU
rnacentral:rRNA from 1 species